UGGUUAAACCCCAUGUCCCAUUAGUAUGUGCAAAUUGUUGCUUACAUUUUUCACAUAUAGCACGAUUAUAGACUUUAUCAUGUUUAAAAAAUUUCCAUACAAGUGAUGUUUUGGGACGUUCAGCCUUAGGCUUACCCCUUACGGGGGUACAGGGGGUAAAGCUCCAGACUGAGAUUGACUCUGAGUUGGGGCUUGUGUUGU
rnacentral:lncRNA from 1 species